UACGGAGGGUGCAAGCGUUAUCCGGAUUCACUGGGUUUAAAGGGUGCGUAGGUGGGUUGGUAAGUCCGUGGUGAAAUCUCCGAGCUUAACUCGGAAACUGCCGUGGAUACUAUCAAUCUUGAAUACUGUGGAGGUAAGCGGAAUAUGUCAUGUAGCGGUGAAAUGCUUAGAUAUGACAUAGAACACCGAUAGCGAAGGCAGCUUGCUACACAGUUAUUGACACUGAGGCACGAGAGCGUGGGGAGCAAACAGG
rnacentral:rRNA from 1 species